UACAGAGGUCUCAAGCGUUGUUCGGAUUCAUUGGGCGUAAAGGGUGCGUAGGCGGCGCGGUAAGUCGGGUGUGAAAUCUCGGAGCUUUAACUCCGAAACUGCAUUCGAUACUGCCGGUGCUUGAGGACUUGGAGAGGAGACUGGAAUUUGACGGUGUAGCGGUGAAAUGCGUAGAUAUCGUAAGGAAGACCAGUGGCGAAGGCG
rnacentral:rRNA from 1 species